CACAUGAAUUAGCUGAACUGGAGGCGAGGCGUGAACGUGUGAAGCAAAAUGUUGAGCCGUGGAUCCGUUCACCAAGAAGCAGUGGUAUGACAUCAAGGCGCCGCUGCUCUUCACCAGCCGCAACGUAGGCAAGACCCUCGUGUCCAGGACACAGGGUACCAAGAUUGCCUUAGAGGGCCUGAAGCACCGGGUGUUUGAAGUAUCUCUAGAUGAUCUUCAGAACGAUGAGGACCAGGCCUACAGGAAGA